CCUACGGGGGGCAGCAGUGGGGAAUAUUGGACAAUGGGCGAAAGCCUGAUCCAGCCAUGCCGCGUGUGUGAAGAAGGCCUUCGGGUUGUAAAGCACUUUCAGUGGGGAAGAAAGCCUUGGGGCUAAUACCCUCGAGGAAGGACAUCACCCACAGAAGAAGCACCGGCUAACUCCGUGCCAGCAGCCGCGGUAAUACGGAGGGUGCGAGCGUUAAUCGGAAUUACUGGGCGUAAAGCGCGCGUAGGCGGUCUGAUAAGCCGGUUGUGAAAGCCCCGGGCUCAACCUGGGAACGGCAUCCGGAACUGUCAGGCUAGAGUGCAGGAGAGGAAGGUAGAAUUCCCGGUGUAGCGGUGAAAUGCGUAGAGAUCGGGAGGAAUACCAGUGGCGAAGGCGGCCUUCUGGACUGACACUGACGCUGAGGUGCGAAAGCGUGGGUAGCAAACAGGAUUAGAUACCUGGUAGUC
rnacentral:rRNA from 1 species